rnacentral:rRNA from 1 species
UAGCGGCGGACGGGUGAGUAACACGUGGGUAACCUGCCUGUAAGACUGGGAUAACUCCGGGAAACCGGGGCUAAUACCGGAUGCUUGUUUGAACCGCAUGGUUCAAACAUAAAAGGUGGCUUCGGCUACCACUUACAGAUGGACCCGCGGCGCAUUAGCUAGUUGGUGAGGUAAUGGCUCACCAAGGCAACGAUGCGUAGCCGACCUGAGAGGGUGAUCGGCCACACUGGGACUGAGACACGGCCCAGACUCCUACGGGAGGCAGCAGUAGGGAAUCUUCCGCAAUGGACGAAAGUCUGACGGAGCAACGCCGCGUGAGUGAUGAAGGUUUUCGGAUCGUAAAGCUCUGUUGUUAGGGAAGAACAAGUACCGUUCGAAUAGGGCGGUACCUUGACGGUACCUAACCAGAAAGCCACGGCUAACUACGUGCCAGCAGCCGCGGUAAUACGUAGGUGGCAAGCGUUGUCCGGAAUUAUUGGGCGUAAAGGGCUCGCAGGCGGUUUCUUAAGUCUGAUGUGAAAGCCCCCGGCUCAACCGGGGAGGGUCAUUGGAAACUGGGGAACUUGAGUGCAGAAGAGGAGAGUGGAAUUCCACGUGUAGCGGUGAAAUGCGUAGAGAUGUGGAGGAACACCAGUGGCGAAGGCGACUCUCUGGUCUGUAACUGACGCUGAGGAGCGAAAGCGUGGGGAGCGAACAGGAUUAGAUACCCUGGUAGUCCACGCCGUAAACGAUGAGUGCUAAGUGUUAGGGGGUUUCCGCCCCUUAGUGCUGCAGCUAACGCAUUAAGCACUCCGCCUGGG